GAAUCCCGUCUUUGAUACGGACUACCAGGGCUUUGUGAUGCGCUCUCGAAGAGUCGAGUUGUUUGGGAAUGCAGCUCAAAAUGGGUGGUAAAUUCCAUCUAAAGCUAAAUAUUGGCGAGAGACCGAUAGCGAACAAGUACCGUGAGGGAAAGAUGAAAAGCACUUUGGAAAGAGAGUGAAACAGUACGUGAAAUUGUUGAAAGGGAAACGCUUGAAGUCAGUCGCGUCGACCGAGACUCAGCCUCGCCUUGGCUUGGUGUACUUCUCGGCACGACGGGUCAGCAUCAAUUUUGCCCCUCGGAUAAUGGCAGGGGAAAGGUGGCACCUUUACGGGUGUGUUAUAGUCUUCUGUCGCAUGCGAGGGGUGGGAUUGAGGAACUCAGCGCGCACCUCAGUGUCGGGGCUUCGGCCCACGUCACGCGCUUAGGAUGCUGGCGUAAUGGCUUUAAACGACCCGUCUUGAAACACGGACCAAGGAGUCCAACACGCCCGCGAGUGUUCGGGUGGAAAACCCGUGCGCGUAAUGAAAGUGAAAGUUGGGACCUCUGUCGUGGAGGGCACCGACGCCCGGACCAGACCUUCUGUGACGGAUCUGCGGUAGAGCGUGUGUGUUGGGACCCGAAAGAUGGUGAACUAUGCCUGAAUAGGGUGAAGCCAGAGGAAACUCUGGUGGAGGCUCGUAGCGAUUCUGACGUGCAAAUCGAUCGUCAAAUUUGGGUAUAGGGGCGAAAGACUAAUCGAACCAUCUAGUAGCUGGUUCCUGCC
rnacentral:rRNA from 1 species